CAAAGGAUUGGAGCUACGUCAUCUGUCAUCUGUCAAGCGUAAUAAAAAUUUUGAGUUUGUAACUUGUACGCUAAAGGAAAUAAGGAUGUAAAUGAAAGUAAGUGUCACUGAGAGCCUACCUUCAGUUUAAAGGUCUCUCCAAUAUGAGAAACAUAUGUGCUUCUUCAAUUCAGUAAUGCAAAUGUUCAAGCACACGUUCAAGUUCAAGCAAUUCAAGCACAUUGGUUGACACACAACUGUUUGAAUAAGUGACCAUGUUGUGCAGCUGAAGGUUUAGAUAGGAAUUAUUCCUGCAACAGUCCUUGUCAGCCUUUCAAGAGCUUGAAAACUGCAAUCCCAUGGUGAAUUCAUCAAAAAUUUUAGCCAUUAAAGUUGCUGAGACAAAUCAGCGUUGGCUAUAACCCUUGGUUCAGGUACACUCGUAACACUAACAUUGGGAUUCUUUCUCAAGGAUAUUAUUGUCCAGCUAUAACAGGAGGAACAGGAAAACGAAGGCAAUCAUUGUCAACAAUAACUCCUCCAUCCCUUUUCACCCAAGUCUGUAUUCUGUAAAAAGAGUGCCCAAUUUCAGCAGCAAUAUGACAAUGAGUAAGUUAAAGUUUUAUGAGUAAGUCUAAAUUACAAUUUUAGUCGUAAUUCAUCGAUUAAUUAACUAACAAUUAAGCUUUUACGUCAUCUGCGGAUGGUCUGAAGAAAAUACACGGCGGCGCCACGCCACCAUGAGCUAUUUUAAUUUACCUCUAUUUUUGCGAAAACUAACUGACGGAAGAU